rnacentral:sRNA from 1 species
GCUGGGCAUGGUGGCGCAUGCCUGUCAUCCCGGCAGCUCGGGAGGCUGAGGCGGGAGGAUGGUGAGUUCAAAGCCAGCCUCAGCAACAAUGAAGCCCUAAGCAACUCAGUGAGACCCUGUCUCUA